UGCCAGCCGCCGCGGUAAUACGGAGGGGGUUAGCGUUGUUCGGAAUUACUGGGCGUAAAGCGCACGUAGGCGGCAUGCCAAGUCAAGGGUGAAAUCCCACGGCUCAACCGUGGAACUGCCUCUGAAACUGGCAAGCUGGAGUAUGUGAGAGGAUAGCGGAAUUCCUGGUGUAGGAGUGAAAUCCGUAGAUAUCAGGAGGAACAUCAGUGGCGAAGGCGGCUAUCUGGCACAAAACUGACGCUGAGGUGCGAAAGCGUGGGUAGCAAACAGGAUUAGAUA
rnacentral:rRNA from 1 species